AAUUAACUCUUUAGGUAGUAAUUAAACCAACAUGUGCUGGCGGUCUUUAAAAAUUAGAGAAACUCGCCUUAUAAUCGAAAAUACUCGAUAAUUUUCACUCAAUCUAAUUAGCCUAUAUACCGCCGUCAUCCUUAGAGCUUAUUAACUUUCAAAUCUCAUCAAAUAAUAAUUCUUAACAAAAAUCAGGUCAAGGUGUAGCCCAUAAUUGAGAAAAGGUAAGUUACAUUAAGAACAACUUAAGGAUAAGAGACAAAAGUCAUACUUAAAAAAGAAUUUAUUAGUACUCACUGAUCAAAAAUCAGAGCCGAACCCAAAAAUAAAGAUGC
rnacentral:rRNA from 1 species